GAAAAUUAAUUUGCAUAGUGUGCAUAAAAAGUUUUGAAAAAGUUUCGACGACAUUAGUAAAGAUAAGUGUAUUUGCGCACGGACAGACGGACAAACGGAUGCUGACCAAGAUUUUAACUCUACAGCAGUGGACGGCACACAUACUGCAACAUUUUUGCGCUUCUUUAUGUGAGUAAUUUGGUCGGCGAAACUUGGCAGUGCUUGCGCGGCUUCAUACUGUUCGUGCCACCUUCUGCCGCCGCACUGCUGCAGCUUUCCCGUAUGGCCUUAGCCGACCAUCGCCCUAUAGGGUCAGUUAUGUCUCAAGAGGUGCAGAAACUUCGAUGUUUUCAAAACAUCGGUAACAUCGAUGUUACACAAGCUGAGUAAGUGGAGUGGAGGCAUGGACAAAUAUCUGAAACUGUAAAACCCCCCACCAUCAGAUCCGACCACUGGCGCACCAACAACAUGCAGCGAUAUUGUCGACCACAGCGCCAAACACAACGGCAAUAAUAACGUUGACAACUAAGCAUAACCAAAAAAAUAUUCAACAAGCGGUCCUGGCCAUACAGACUGGUAUGGAUCGCUACAUCCAAAUUAAGCGUAAGCUACAUCGCUACAUCCAAAUUAAGCUUCUUCGACAAGUUAACACCCAAAAUAAUACAAUUUCUCAGACAGAGGAAAUGAGUAAGCAUUGAUUGCACAACAAACAGCAAAGCAAUGCCCUCAAUAAUAGAAUUUCCCAAACCGAAGAAGAGAGCAUUAAUUGCACAACUAACAGCAAAGCAAUGCUCUCAAUAAAGUUCUAACGAACUUAGCUUGCACCUUUUGGUCAGCGAUCGUGGGAAUGCAGAACAGCCAAUUUUCAAAGUUGAUCGAACUCAACUUAGUGCAUACAAUAAAAACUAUAAUUAAAAUGCACUGGCCAAUUACAAUUAAGUUUGGCCAACGGCGACGGCGACCAAGAGCAGCAACCAAUAAUAUGAAAGAACGUCAGCAGAAACAUCAACAGCGGCAGAGACGGCGGCAGCGAUGGAGCGACGCGUAGCUAUAAAAACAAUUGUUUAACCUAAGUAAGUUAGUUCUUAAUCCAACUCAAUAAAGAAAGGUUUGAUUUUUUUAUCAAAAUCAUAAUCAAUCUUUUAACUGGCGCCCGAACAGGGACCUGAUUAAAACCGCGAAAGGAUAACAAGUUCCGCGUCUCGCGAAGUUCAGAAAGUAAAAAAUUCUGACGUUUCGUUUCAAACCUCCGCCUAAUCAGUGAGAAGUAAGAAACCAAAAAUACCGAGAUUCGGAAGUGCAAAAGUGCCGUUUAAAAAACGCCGCAAAUUGUCACUCCUGAAAAAAAAACAGGACUUGUACCCGGUGGAAUAAUCAGGCCAAAUUUUAUCGCCGUGAUCCCUUUAGUAUCCGUUCGAAGGGAACGUGAAUUAAGGUACAGAGAAGGCCCCUUAGUAAACUCACACUCAGGAGAGAUCGUUGCAGAGUGGGAUAAAACGGAAUCUGCCGAGCCUGUCAUCACGAGAGCACGCC